AAGUGUGAACCAGUGACCUGGAUUCAAAUAAGUUUAUUUAUUUGAAAAUUAUUUAAGCAUAAUGAGUUCAAAUAAUAUAUUAAGUCCUGUCUAAAAACCGUGCCAGCAGUCGCGGUAAUACGGUGAGGGCUACCCAUCGGAAUCUUAAGUAGGCGUAUAGGGUGCGUAGCUUGUAAAAACUAGAGUUUUAUUGAGGAAAAAUCCAUACACGGAUGAGGGUUGAAAUCCAUUGACACCGCGGUGAGAGCUAAUGGCGAAGGCAUUUUUCCAAAUAAAUACUGACAGUGAGGCACGAAAGCCUGGUCAGGGAAGCCGAUUAGAGACCGGCGUACUCCAGGCUGUAAACUAUGCAGACCCAACUUUUUAUUAGGAAAGUUGCCGCUAACGCUUUGAGUCUGCCGCCAGCAUGGUACAGCCGCAAGGUCGACACGCAAACGACGAGACCGUCUGUGGUAUCAAUCGGGUGCGGGGCAUGCUGUUUAAUCCGUCAAUACGCGUAAAAUCUUACCAUGUCUUGAAUAUUAACUAAAUUAAAGUCAUUUAACUUGUCAAAAGUAAAGUUAAUACAGGUGUUGCAUGGCUGUCGUCAGCUAGUGCUUGUGAGGCGUAAGGUUUGGUCCAUUUAACUAGCGCAAACCUCACCUUAAAUUAUUUUUAAGGUCCCGAUUUUAUGCAAAUUUGGNUUUGGAGGAGUAUGACAAGCCGGCAUGGCCCUUAUGACAUGGGCUA
rnacentral:rRNA from 1 species